rnacentral:lncRNA from 10 species
CCUCCCUCCACCAGUUUCCCAGCACGCUGACCUCCACCUACCUCUCUCAGUUCCCAGGAGGGUAAGAUUGCCCAGAGGCGUCCAGCAGUGAACACAGUAAGCCUGUUUAAGGUAAACGCAGUUUAACCCUAGCGUUUUAAGUGGAAUAACAGAGGCUGGAAUGUGAAAGUGGGAAGGUCUGUUUGCUUUCAGUCCCACCCCCAAGGCCUGCCCUAAGAGUCUGAGACAGGAGAACACACGUCUACAGAGAGCCUGCCUAGAGUCUGGAUUUUUUAAGCUGCUGGAUACCAGGUGCUACCUGACACCAGCUCAUCCCCUGCCUCUAGAGUCCUGGAGGGCUUUGAGUUGAUCACUUUCCACUCCAGGAAUGUUAUAAGAAACCGCUCAGAAAGGUGAUUGCAAAUCUAUGGAUGAGACCAAGGGAGAAUUUUCACGCCAUCAUAGCAUUUUAUUCCUCACCUGACUGGGAGCAGCUCGAAGGGAAGGACAUGUCUCCAAAGACAUGAGGAGUAUUCAACGUGGCAUUCGAGGCGCAAGGAAAAACCUGCCUAUCCCAAGAUCUCAGCCCCAUCAGCCAGCCAAGGGAUCCACAAUGACCCUUAUGAAGUUUCAUAAGGAAGCUAAUUGCUUAAAUGAGAUUUGAGUCAAGAAGGAUGACCUAGCAAUAACCUCUAUAUAUCUCAUUAUGCCAAAACUUAAAUGGCUACAUAAGAGGACAGUCCAGUGACAGACAUGGAAAGAGGCUUAGAGGUCAUCUCAUUCAUCACACCAUUUUACAGAGGAAAGCAAAAUGCCAUCCAGAGAAGGAAAGUCACAAAGCCAUCUAACCCCAGACCUGGGAGUAGCAGCUGAUCACAGCGGGUCGGACACAAGAAGCUGCUUCCAAAAAUCUUUCCUUCCAUUUGUCCUACAGAGAAGACAUCAGAAAACAAAAUUUUAUAAGCAUGUCUCUAGCUCUAACUCACUAUUCAACUAAAGGACAAAUUAAAUAGGGAAUGAGAUAACCUUAACUUCAUGAGAUUUGUUCUUAUAUGCAGUUUUCUACCCUGAGAAACCAAUCUAUGCUAAAGAUAAUAUUUGUGCUUUUCAAUGAGGCUGGUAAAAUAUUUGCACUUUGAAGCUCAGAGCGAUAACAUUUAUUCAUUCGGGUGAAACUUAUCAGGAUUAGGUAAAUAUAAUCGAAGCAAAACAAAAAUGAUUUGGGAAACUUUGUGACCAAAACCAACAGGCGUAUUCAGUACUCCUUUGAAGGUCACCUAAUUCUAAUAACAUUUAUAUUUAUAAAUGUCCUCUAAGUCUUUUAUCUUCUGCAAAUAAAUUAUUUCUCACAAUUACAGGUUAGUCCAAUACAUCAGCCUAUUUUCAGAGUCCAGAGUUCUAACCAUUACACGAUGGAACCAGCCUAUUUUCAAGCACAUACUCAGUGUCUCCAGGAUGAGGACACAUUGUGGGGCUUUUCACAACUUCUCUCUCCCAUCACCUGCCCCUCUCCUUCCAUAUUUAAUAUAUUGUUGCAUUUCUGUCAAAUUAGCUGGAAGAGUAGUGUUUAAUCAGGUGUACACACUGCCACAGUAACCUGGAAACUUCAAAUUCUACCCCUAAUCACUAAUGUUGAAGACUUGCUAAAACAGGUUUUUUUGUUUGUUUGUUUUGCUUUUUGAGACGGAGUCUAGCUCUGUUGCCCAGGCUGGAGUGCUGUGGUGCAAUUAUCAGCUCACUGCAACCUCUGCCUCCUGGGUUCAAACAAUUCU